rnacentral:rRNA from 1 species
GACGAACGCUGGCGGUGUGCUUAACACAUGCCAGUCGAACGGUAAGGCCCUUUCGGGGGUACACGAGUGGCGAACGGGUGAGUAACACGUGAGUAACCUGCCCUCAUCUCUGGGAUAACAGUCGGAAACGGUUGCUAAUACUGGAUAUGAGCCUGCAAGGCAUCUUGUGGGUUGGAAAGAUUUUUUGGUUGGGGAUGGACUCGCGGCCUAUCAGCUUGUUGGUGAGGUAGUGGCUCACCAAGGCUUCGACGGGUAGCCGGCCUGAGAGGGCGACCGGCCACAUUAGGACUGAGAUACGGCCCAAACUCCUACGGGAGGCAGCAGUGGGGAAUAUUGCACAAUGGACGGAAGUCUGAUGCAGCAACGCCGCGUGCGGGAUGACGGCCUUCGGGUUGUAAACCGCUUUCAAUUGUGACGAAGCUUUUUGUGACGGUAGCAGUAGAAGAAGCACCGGCUAACUACGUG